rnacentral:rRNA from 1 species
UGGGGAAUAUUGCACAAUGGGCGAAAGCCUGAUGCAGCGACGCCGCGUGAGUGAAGAAGUAUUUCGGUAUGUAAAGCUCUAUCAGCAGGGAAGAUAAUGACGGUACCUGACUAAGAAGCCCCGGCUAACUACGUGCCAGCAGCCGCGGUAAUACGUAGGGGGCAAGCGUUAUCCGGAUUUACUGGGUGUAAAGGGAGCGUAGACGGCAUGGCAAGUCUGAAGUGAAAACCCAGGGCUCAACCCUGGGACUGCUUUGGAAACUGUCAAGCUAGAGUGCAGGAGAGGUAAGUGGAAUUCCUAGUGUAGCGGUGAAAUGCGUAGAUAUUAGGAGGAACACCAGCGGCGAAGGCGGCUUACUGGACUGUAACUGACGUUGAGGCUCGAAAGCGUGGGGAGCAAACAGGAUUAGAUACCC